UACGGAGGAUGCGAGCGUUAUCCGGAUUUAUUGGGUUUAAAGGGUGCGUAGGCGGACGCUUAAGUCAGCGGUAAAACUGCGGGGCUCAACCUCGUCGAGCCGUUGAAACUGGGUGCCUUGAGUGGGCGAGAAGUACGCGGAAUGCGUGGUGUAGCGGUGAAAUGCAUAGAUAUCACGCAGAACUCCGAUUGCGAAGGCAGCGUACCGGCGCCCAACUGACGCUGAAGCACGAAGGCGUGGGUAUCGAACAGG
rnacentral:rRNA from 1 species